UGGCUCUCGCAUCGAUGAAGAACGCAGCGAAAUGCGAUAAGUAAUGUGAAUUGCAGAAUUCAGUGAAUCAUCGAAUCUUUGAACGCAACUUGCGCUCCUUGGUAUUCCUUGGAGCAUGCCUGUUUGAGUGUCAUGAAUUUCUCAAGUCCUUAUUGCUUUGGCGAUGAUGGACUUGGACUUGGAGGCUGCCGGUAAUCGGCUCCUCUCAAAUGUAUUAGCUGGAACCUCGUGUGUAUCUCCGGUGUGAUAAUAUCUACUCCGCAUGAUCACAAAGUAGGAUCUGCUUCUAAUCGUCCAAGUAUUGGACACAUCUUGACAUUUGACCUCAAAUCAGGUAGGACUACCCGCUGA
rnacentral:misc_RNA from 1 species